rnacentral:lncRNA from 1 species
UAGGCUCCGCCUCCCUCCCUCCCUCCGGCCGAACCGACGCGACGCACAGCAAGCGCCCGCUGCAGCAGCGAGCGACCGUCGGAUCCGGCCGGGCGGAACACGAGCCGGGUCGGAAGCGCGCGCCGUCGAAGCGGGGCGGCGAAGUGAGGUAGGGUAUCGGGUGCGGUGCGGUGCGGUGGGGGAGAGAGGAGAGAGAGAGAAGUAGAGAAGGAAGGUGGUGGGGACGGGACGGGUGGAAGUGGUCCACCGUGGACUUUGAGCGGACCGUGUCACGGCCACGUGGGGAGGUGACUGCGUUCCACGGUUCCACCAUCCAAGGCCUCGUGUAGUUCCGAAAUUUUUUCGAUUUCACUACCGUAGUAUUUUCGUUUUUAUUUGACAAAUAUUAUCUAAUUAUAAACUAACUGAGAUCAAAAGAUUCGUCUCGUGAUUUACAGACAAACUGUUUAAUUAGUUUUUAUUUUCAUUUAUAUUUAAUACUUCAUGCAUGUGCCGCAAAAUUCGAUGUGACGGGAAAUCUUGAAAACUUUUUGGAUUUCGAGGUGAACUAAAACAAGGCCCAAACUUGUGGAUUCAACUGCCUGCACACGAGCGGAUGCGUGCUUUUACUGGACUAUCCCUGCACACGAGCUUAACAGUUAAACUUGAAUCACUAGUAUAUUGGUCUUGUUAACGCUAUAAAUUAAUUAGGUAAUACAAAUCAAACAACCAAAAGUCCAUUAGUAGGUAAUCUGAAAUUCUAAUGCCCGUAUUAAUGUUAUAGUUUAAUUAGGAAAUACAAAUCAUACAACCAAAAGUCGAUUCACAAGUAACCAGAAAUUCAUAUGACACUUUUCACACAGACAAAUAUAAUUGUCACAUAUAUAGUUCCAAUGCCUAGUACAGUACAGCCCAAUUGAAUGUCCUCUGCAGCGCAGAGCUGUCCAUAGUCCGUAGUGGAUAUAUACAUAUAUAAAAUUCGUCUUUCUCAAGGGAACACAACAUUUACAAACAAGAACCAUAUUGCAAAAAUUCUGAUUGGUUAUCUAAACAAACUUAGUGCAGUCAAUAUAGCUUUCAGUCAGCCCUGCUCUCUAAAAAAUAGUAUACAAGGAGGGAGCUCAAUUACUGGUCCAAUCAACUCUUCAGCAAUGCUAUCCUGAAGUUUGUGAUCCAAUAAGAUUUAGAUAUCCAAGGCAUCUUACCUAUAAAGUGGUAAAAGGACGAUCUUAGAAUAAUUAUGGUGGUUUUCAGUAUUUUGCGAACUCUUCAGACAGCUGGUUUUCAAUAUUUUGUUGAUCUUGAAAAUUUGAUUAACAGUUUUUUUUUGGGGGGUACACAAGCAGAACUUACCUUCAAAAUACUGUCUAGAUUCCUUAUCUCAACCCAGAGGAUGAUGCUCAUCUAUACGAAGUGCUGCCAAUUUGUUUUGUAUUGUUAGCUUUGGUAAACGAAGGGCAUAAUAUUUCACCACCAAGUGAUGUUAAAUCGUGUGUAAAGCCACCGCACUGAACAAGGAGGAAGAUUUAACACGACAGUCACAAUGCAAAUUGACCAGAAUAGAUUGAUUUUUUAUAUAAGUAGGAGUACUAAUAAAAAUGUUGUUUUUUCUCUCUUUUUUCAUUUAACACCGGGUUUUGUCUUAAAAUUUACCUAGGUGGGUGGCACUGAGGGCGCAGCGCAGUUCCAGCGCAAUUGUUCGUCAUCAUCACCCACCUUGUCUUGAAAUUUAGUUUGCUUGAUGAAACUAUUGAAGUACCAGGAAAU